AACGACGGUGCCGUUAAGGGUAUGUUAUAAAAAAAUGUCUCCUGAUCUACCUGAUCAAACUGAUUCUUGCAUAUCUCCCAGUUGCCUUCGACAAAUUUCUGCUGUGGUCGAAGUGAUUUUUUUUAGAUAGAGUUGUUGCAAGAGUUUUGCGAUUAAGACAUGAACCAUGCCAAAUGUAAAACGUAGUAUCAUUGGCCGUUGUACACAAAUCGUACACAAAAUGCAAAUCAGCUAGCGAAUAUUCGGGCACGCCGAAACGAAGAGCAGCGUAGGCAGGUCAAUAAAAGUGUGGACAAAUGCAACAAUCUGGAGCUAACUUCAGUAACUGGUGUUAUUCGUACAGCUGUCAAAGAAGCAGGUAUAUUGAUGCAAGAUGGCAAGCGCCGAGUUUCAAGGCACUUUUUGACAAAUUUGAAUAACGCUCAACUACAAGUCAUUUUCACUAUACUACAAAGAAAUAUCGAGCUAUUGAAUGAUGAAUUGGUCGAACUGCUAAUGAAACGUGAUGAAUUGCAAAUUAGCUUAGAUGCGACAUUAAUAGACAUAGAUGAUUUAUGGUUAUACUUUCUAGAUUGAAUAUUAUGACUUUAAAAUGUAGCAAUAAAGAUUGUUUCACCGUAUAAUAA